rnacentral:rRNA from 1 species
GACGAACGCUGGCGGCGUGCUUAACACAUGCAAGUCGAACGGAAAGGCCCUGCUUUUGUGGGGUGCUCGAGUGGCGAACGGGUGAGUAACACGUGAGUAACCUGCCCUUGACUUUGGGAUAACUUCUGGAAACUGGGGCUCAUACCGGAUAGGAGCUCCUGCUGCACGGUGGGGGUUGGAAAGUUUCGGCGGUUGGGGAUGGACUCGCGGGUUAUCAGCUUGUUGGUGGGGUAGUGGCUUACCAAGGGUUUGACGGGUAGCCGGCCUGAGAGGGUGACCGGCCACAAUGGGACUGAGAUACGGAGCAGUAGGCUACGGGAGGCAGCAGGCGAGAAUAUUGCACAGUGGGCGGAAGCGUGAGGCAGAAAUGCCGCGUGCGGGAUGACGGCCUUCGGGGUGUAAACCGCUUUCGCCGGUGACGAAGCGGGAGUGACGGUAAUGGGUAAAGAAGCACCGGCUAACUACGUG